rnacentral:rRNA from 1 species
GACGGAGGAUGCAAGCGUUAUCCGGAAUUAUUGGGCGUAAAGCGUCCGCAGGUGGCUGUUCAAGUCUGCUGUCAAAGCGCAGAGCUUAACUCUGUACAGGCGGUGGAAACUGAAGAGCUAGAGUAUGGUAGGGGUAGAGGGAAUUCCCGGUGUAGCGGUGAAAUGCGUAGAUAUCGGGAAGAACACCAGUGGCGAAGGCGGCUUCCUGGCCCAAUACUGACACUCAGGUGCGACAGCGUGGGGAGCAAACAGG